UGCAUCCGAGAGGAAAGUCCGAGCUCCACAGGACAUGAUGCCGGAUAACGUCCGGGAGCCGUGAGGCUACAGACAGUGCAACAGAAAGCAAACCGCCCCCGCUUGCGGGGGUAAGGGUGAAAUGGCGGGGUAAGAGCCCACCGGGAGACCAGUAAUGGGCUUCGCAUGGCAAACCUCAUCAGGAGCAAGGCCAAGAAGCGUGUGGAUUGUCCGUCCCAUACACGCGGGUAGGCUGCUAGAGACAGCCGGUAACGGUUGUACCAGAUAGAUGAUUGCAUAAACAGAACUCGGCUUAUGAGGGACC
rnacentral:RNase_P_RNA from 1 species